AUGGGGAUCUGCGCGUCCUCGGAGCACCUCGGGCAGCAGGGGCAGGAGGCGGACGAGAGCAUCGUCUACGUCAUGGACGAGGAAGGAGGGGGCGGCGCGUCGUCGCCCAGGAAGGUGGCCUCCCUCUUCUCCCAGAAGGGCAAGAAAGGCCCCAACCAGGACGCCGUCAUCCUCUGCCAGGGAUUUGGCAUGGAGGACGGCGUGUUCUGCGGCGUGUUCGACGGCCACGGCAGGUGUGGCCACUUUGUGAGCAAGCUGGUGAGGGACUACCUCCCCUUCAUGGUCCUGAGCCACCGGAAUGCGCUGCUCCUGGCGGACGCGGACGCGGACGCCGACGACGCCGUGUUCAGCGACGCCUCGCCUUCGACCUCCGCGGACAGCAGCGGCAACUCGUCACCGCACCCGUCGCAGAUGCUGGAGGAGUGGAGGGAGGCCUGCACCAAUGCGUUCAAGGCCAUGGACAACGAGCUCAAGCUGCAGGCCAACAUGGACUGCAACUUCAGCGGCACCACGGCAGUGUGUGCCAUCAAGCAGGGCAAGGAUCUGAUCAUUGCCAACCUCGGGGACUCGAGGGCGGUUCUUGCGACCAUGUCUGGGGCCGGCUACCUCAAGGCCGUGCAGCUCACCACUGACCAGAAGCCCGGCCUGCCUGAGGAGGCGGAGAGGAUCAACAAGUGCGAGGGGCGCGUGUUCGCGCUGAGGGAGGAGCCGGGCGUGAUGCGUGUGUGGCUGCCCGGCGAGAACCUCCCGGGGCUGGCCAUGGCGCGCGCGCUGGGGGACUCGAGGCUGAAGCACCACGGCGUCAUCUCGACGCCGCAGGUGACGGGCCACCGGAUAAGCGACGCGGACCUGUUCAUCAUCCUGGCGACGGACGGGGUGUGGGACGUGCUGAGCAACGAGGAGGUGGUGUCCAUCGUGUGCGCCACGCCGCGGAAGCAGCACGCGUCGAAGGCCGUGGUGGAGGCGGCGGUGCAGAGGUGGAAGACCAAGUACCCGUCCUCACGGGUGGACGACUGCUCCGCGGUCUGCCUCUUCCUGCACGACCACAGCGCCGCAGCGGCCACCAAGCUCUAG
rnacentral:rRNA from 1 species